rnacentral:lncRNA from 1 species
GGCCCUUCCCAUCUCAGUACAUCUCACAUACCCUAAAGAACCCCGUUUUCCCACUGCCUCACACCACCAUCCGCCCACCAGAAAUCGCCUCACGACGGUUCCGGUGGCCCAAACAACCCCGAAAACACACCACAGAACCCCCUCACUUCCCUCACUCCAAAUCCCCAAUACCUUUUCCUCGAAUCACCCCCUAACUCUUCGAAUCUUGGAUCGAAGAUCUGACCUUGAACCUUAACUCACCCAAUCAACCCCAAAUUCACACCGUAGAACCGCCACAACUCCCUCUUCACUAAUCCAUGACCCGUUUCCUUCGAAUGGCUCUUGAUCUGCUCGAAUCUUAAAUCUAGGGGUCCAAGUUCUAAGGUCAAACCUAAUUCAAGAACUGUUGAUAAUUGUAGAGCCGGUUUUAUCGUGAAAUGAUAUUAAUUACUUGUUUUAACAAAGAACAAGUGAUUAACGUCAUUUGGCGAUGAAAUCAAAAAGAAGAAAUUUGAUACCAAGUUGUUCAAUUAAACUGGUAAGUUUCUUAACUGUUUUUUUUUCAUUUUUCGUUUUACUUCCCUAGUUGUUGGUCCACUGAUUCAGUCAGUUUAAUUAAAUCUUUUUAUUAAAUUCGUUUGAAUUAGUUUAGUAACAGGGCUAGUUAAGUUGGUGUUGAUUGUUUUAAGGGUCGAACCACAAAUGAGUUCAUCCGUUGGUUAUUCUUGUUUGUUUCAAUUCUGAUCAGUCGUGUAUGGGGUAUGAUUUUCUAUUUCCUUUUAAUGUCAAACCCUUAAAUAAUCAGAAAUUGAUGCUGUUUGGUUUUGGCUGCUUGGUGAUUCUGUUUUGUAGAACUGUUUGUGCCAGCUUACAAAUAAUCAAAAUUUUCAGUAGUUUUAAUCAAAUAAAGAUUUCAGAGUACAAUAUGAGCAUUGUUUAAUAAUUAAACGGGGCAUUCACCCAAUUUAAGAAGAUUCUAAUAGUGGUAGGGUUAGAAGUGCAUUAAUUGAGUAAGUGGAAUCAUUUUAAAAUUUUGAAAGGUCAUUUUAUGAAUCCAAGGGGCAUUUCCAGUUACCUGUAAGAUAGAGCUUCAGAUAUGAAAAAGAGAACAAUUCAGAGAGAGGAGGAGAUAGGAAAUAGAUACAGAGAGAGAGAGCUUAAGAGAUUUAUUAGGAGAAAGAGAUUUAAACUCUAAAAAUUCUGAAAAUUGAGGGCUAAGACAUACACGGAUAUACACACACAGGAAGACAAUUCUGCUGUUCCAUUGAAGUUUUUACUGAUUGAGAAUUGUUUUUAAACUUCUGAAACAAUCUCAACUCACCUGAGGGAGAAAGGUUUUAGAAUUGGUCUUCAAAUUUGGUUUAAAGCUGUACGAGAUAUUGUUUGAUUGGGGCUGUUUGUUGCUGCUGGUGAUAACUGUUGUUAUUCUUGUUGAUCUUACCUCCUUUUGACUUUCAUUUCCAGGUAUGUAAAGACAUUUGAACCUUGAAGUAAAUCUAGACCAAACGCCUAUGAAAUCGAGCUGAAAUUGUUGUUUUGUUCUUUCAAACAGAAGCUAUUGCUUUUCUUGUGAUUUCUGCAUAUUUAUCUCGUCAAUCAUUAUGAAUAGUUGGCCAUAUAGUUUGUAGUCUAUUUCCUUUUCAGAUUUGGGAUUUUCACCAAUGUGUUAUAAAUAAUGUUAGAUUAUUGGAUUAUAGCAUUAUUCUAGAUUGUAAAUUCUGAUUGUGGCUCUCAUCGGAUUGAUUUG